UAUGUGAUCGUCUCUCGCAUAUCAAUAAGCGGAGGAAAAGAAACUAACAAGGAUUCCCCUAGUAACGGCGAGUGAAGCGGGAAGAGCUCAAAUUUGAAAUCUUAAAGGGUUUCCCUUACGAAUUGUAGUUUAAAGAAGUGUUUUCUGUUGAGGUUUUGGUAAAAGUUCUUUGGAAUAGGACAUCAUAGAGGGUGAGAAUCCCGUAUUUGACCUUUACUUUCAACUUUGUGAUACACUUUCAAAGAGUCGGAUUGUUUGGGAAUGCAGUCCAAAAUGGGUGGUAAAUUUCAUCUAAAGCUAAAUAUUGGCGAGAGACCGAUAGCGAACAAGUACCGUGAGGGAAAGAUGAAAAGAACUUUGAAAAGAGAGUUAAACAGUACGUGAAAUUGUCAAAAGGGAAGCGUUUGACAUCAGUGUUGUUUUUCUGAAAAUCAAUUAAAGAACUGUUUAUGCUAAGUUGUUUAGACUUUAUCAGCUAACUGUUUAGUUUUGAGCUUUUCUUUAAUGCACUUUUCAGUUAACAAGUCAACAUCAAUUUCUUUUGCUGUAAAAAAGCUUGAGGAAGGUGGCUUGAGAUUCGUCUUAAGUGUUUAUAGCCUCUUGCCUAUGCAGUCGGAGAGAUUGAGGUCUGCAGCGUAGAUCCUUCGGGGCUAAAUGCAUUUGUGCUAAGUUAUAGCAUUUUAUAGACAACUUGUUGACUAUGAUUCGUCUUGUAGCUUACUCGCUUAUGUUAUUUUACCUACGCUUAGGAUGUUGAUAUGCAUGACUGAUAU
rnacentral:rRNA from 1 species